rnacentral:rRNA from 1 species
UACGUAGGGUGCGAGCGUUGUCCGGAAUUACUGGGCGUAAAGAGCUUGUAGGUGGUUUGUCGCGUUGUUCGUGAAAUCUCACGGCUCAACUGUGAGCGUGCGGGCGAUACGGGCAGACUAGAGUACUGCAGGGGAGACUGGAAUUCCUGGUGUAGCGGUGGAAUGCGCAGAUAUCAGGAGGAACACCAGUGGCGAAGGCGACUCUUUGGUCUGUAACUGACGCUGAGGCGCGAAAGCGUGGGGAGCAAACAGG